UAUUGCUAGGGGCGCCUUAUGGCUGAGAAAUUCUAAUUAUUGAAUUGACCCUUGAACCUGAUUUGGUUAAUACCAGCGUAGGAAAGCAUUAAAAU
rnacentral:ncRNA from 1 species